rnacentral:rRNA from 1 species
CGGUAAUUCCAGCUCCAAUAGCGUAUAUUAAAGUUGUUGUGGUUAAAAAGCUCGUAGUUGAACCUUGGGCCUGGCUGGCCGGUCCCCCUCACCGGGUGCACUGAUCCAGCCGGGCCUUUCCCUCUGUGGAACCCCAUGGCCUUCACUGGCUGUGGCGGGGAAACAGGACUUUUACUUUGAAAAAAUUAGAGUGCUCCAGGCAGGCCUAUGCUCGAAUACAUUAGCAUGGAAUAAUAGAAUAGGAGGUGUGGUUCUAUUUUGUUGGUUUCUAGGACCGCCGUAAUGAUUAAUAGGGACAGUCGGGGGCAUCAGUAUUCAAUUGUCAGAGGUGAAAUUCUUGGAUCUAUUGAAGACUAACUACUGCGAAAGCAUUUGCCAAGGAUGUUUUCAUUGAUAAGGAACGAAAGUUAGGGGAUCGAAGACGAUCAGAUACCGUCGUAGUCUUAACUAUAAACUAUGCCGACUAGGGAUCGGACGAUGUUA